UACGUAGGGUGCGAGCGUUAAUCGGAAUUACUGGGCGUAAAGCGCGCGCAGGCGGGCUGGUCAGUCCGGGGUGAAAUCUCACGGCUCAACCGUGAGCGGUCCCCGGAUACUGCCAGUCUUGAGGUGUCUAGAGGAGAGCGGAAUUCCCGGUGUAGUGGUGGAAUGCGUAGAUAUCGGGAAGAAACACCAGUGGCGAAAGCGGCUCUCUGGGGACCACCUGACGCUGAGGCGCGAAAGCGUGGGGAGCGAACCGG
rnacentral:rRNA from 1 species